UACAGAGGGUGCGAGCGUUAAUCGGAGUGACUGGGCGUAAAGGGCGCGUAGGCGGUUAGAUUAGUCUGAUGUGAAAUCCCCGGGCUUAACCCGGGAUGUGCAUUGGAAACGGUCUAACUAGAGUAUGAGAGAGGGAAGUGGAAUUUCCGGUGUAGCGGUGAAAUGCGUAGAGAUCGGAAAGAACACUCGUGGCGAAGGCGACUUCCUGGCUCAAAACUGACGCUGAGGCGCGAAAGCGUGGGGAGCAAACAGG
rnacentral:rRNA from 1 species